rnacentral:rRNA from 1 species
GACGAACGCUGGCGGCGUGCUUAACACAUGCAAGUCGAACGGAAAGGCCCUGCUUUUGUGGGGUGCUCGAGUGGCGAACGGGUGAGUAACAAGUGAGUAACCUGCCCUUGACUUUGGGAUAACUUCAGGAAACUGGGGCUAAUACCGGAUAGGAGCUCCUGCUGCAUGGUGGGGGUUGGAAAGUUUCGGCGGUUGGGGAUGGACUCGCGGCUUAUCAGCUUGUUGGUGGGGUAGUGGCUUACCAAGGCUUUGACGGGUAGCCGGCCUGAGAGGGUGACCGGCCACAUUGGGACUGAGAUACGGCCCAGACUCCUACGGGAGGCAUCAGUGGGGAAUAUUGCACAAUGGGCGGAAGCCUGAUGCAGCAACGCCGCGUGCGGGAUGACGGCCUUCGGGUUGUAAACCGCUUUCGCCUGUGACGAAGCGUGAGUGACGGUAAUGGGUAAAGAAGCACCGGCUAACUACGUG